rnacentral:rRNA from 1 species
UACAGAGGUCCCGAGCGUUGUUCGGAUUCACUGGGCGUAAAGGGUGCGUAGGUGGCUUGCUAAGUUUGAUGUGAAAGCUCAGGGCUUAACCCUGAAAUGGCAUUGAAUACGGUCGAGCUGGAGGUUUGGAGGGGGGACUGGAAUUCUUGGUGUAGCAGUGAAAUGCGUAGAUAUCAAGAGGAACACCAGUGGCGAAGGCGAGUCCCUGGACAACACCUGACACUGAGGAGCGAAAGCGUGGGGAGCAAACAGG